UAGGGAAUCUUCCGCAAUGGGCGAAAGCCUGACGGAGCAACGCCGCGUGAGUGAAGAAGGUCUUCGGAUCGUAAAACUCUGUUAUUAGGGAAGAACAAAUGUGUAAGUAACUAUGCACGUCUUGACGGUACCUAAUCAGAAAGCCACGGCUAACUACGUGCCAGCAGCCGCGGUAAUACGUAGGUGGCAAGCGUUAUCCGGAAUUAUUGGGCGUAAAGCGCGCGUAGGCGGUUUUUUAAGUCUGAUGUGAAAGCCCACGGCUCAACUGUGGAGGGUCAUUGGAAACUGGAAAACUUGAGUGCAGAAGAGGAAAGUGGAAUUCCAUGUGUAGCGGUGAAAUGCGCAGAGAUAUGGAGGAACACCAGUGGCGAAGGCGACUUUCUGGUCUGUAACUGACGCUGAUGUGCGAAAGCGUGGGGAUCAAACAGGAUUAGAUACCCUGGUAGUCCACGCCGUAAACGAUGAGUGCUAAGUGUUAGGGGGUUUCCGCCCCUUAGUGCUGCAGCUAACGCAUUAAGCACUCCGCCUGGGGAGUACGACCGCAAGGUUG
rnacentral:rRNA from 1 species